GAUGAACGCUAGCGGCAGGCCUAAUACAUGCAAGUCGGACGGGAUUCAGGAGCUUGCUUCUGAUGAGAGUGGCGCACGGGUGCGUAACACGUAUGUAACCUACCUUUAUCAGGGGGAUAGCCUCUCGAAAGAGAGAUUAAGCCCGCAUAAAAUCACAGCACAGCAUUGUGUAAUGAUCAAAUAUUUAUAGGAUAAAGAUGGGCAUGCGGAACAUUAGCUAGAUGGCGGGGUAACGGCCCACCAUGGCGACGAUGUUUAGGGGAUCUGAGAGGAUGGCCCCCCACACUGGUACUGAGACACGGACCAGACUCCUACGGGAGGCAGCAGUAAGGGAUAUUGGUCAAUGGGCGGAAGCCUGAACCAGCCAUGCCGCGUGCAGGAAGACGGCCCUACGGGUUGUAAACUGCUUUUAUACGGGAAUAAACCCAGAUACGUGUAUCUGGCUGAAUGUACUGUAAGAAUAAGGAUCGGCUAACUCCGUG
rnacentral:rRNA from 1 species